UGGGAUAGAGGUAGGAUGCUCCAUGCAUAGGUUAUAUCAUGGAGCAUCCUAUCUCUAUCCCA
rnacentral:pre_miRNA from 1 species